CCUACGGGAGGCUGCAGUGGGGAAUAUUGCACAAUGGGCGCAAGCCUGAUGCAGCCAUGCCGCGUGUGUGAAGAAGGCCUUCGGGUUGUAAAGCACUUUCAGCGGGGAGGAAGGCGUUAAGGUUAAUAACCUUGGCGAUUGACGUUACCCGCAGAAGAAGCGCCGGCUAACUCCGUGCCAGCAGCCGCGGUAAUACGGAGGGUGCAAGCGUUAAUCGGAAUUACUGGGCAUAAAGCGCACGCAGGCGGUCUGUCAAGUCGGAUGUGAAAUCCCCGGGCUCAACCUGGGAACUGCAUUCGAAACUGGCAGGCUAGAGUCUUGUAGAGGGGGGUAGAAUUCCAGGUGUAGCGGUGAAAUGCGUAGAAAUCUGGAGGAAUACCGGUGGCGAAGGCGGCCCCCUGGACAAAGACUGACGCUCAGGUGCGAAAGCGUGGGGAGCAAACAGGAUUAGAUACCCGGUAGUC
rnacentral:rRNA from 1 species